CGAUUGCGCUUCCUUCUUCUCUGCUGCGGUCGUCGCUCGUCGUUCUCUCUAAGAUCUUCACCGAUGUAGACCAACCUCCUCUGUUUCCGGCUUCGUGUCGUAACAAUGAAAUCGACACCGUUGCUUUUUUUUUUUUUUCUGAACGUCCAAGAAAUCCAGCGCCUAAACCCUGUUAAUAUGUACUUACCAUAGUUUUUUGCCGUUGUUGAUUUCAUACGCUUUCCAGACGACGAUCAGUAAGAACGGUUCAGAGAUGGCCUUGAAGCUAUACUGCCGUCGUCAAUCCUAGAAUCAAGAAUUUUGAUAGAUCCCCAAUAGAUAAGUAUAUGUUACCACUCCUAUACUUAUAUUUUCAUUUUUAAUUUUUGCUAGGGUUUUCUAAUUUGUUAUGUUCUUACUACCAAAUUUGUAAUGAAUAUCAAAUUAUUCCACGAAAUUUCAAACAAUAUCAAAUUCAAUGCUAGAUCUAUGUAUAUGUAUAUAUAUGUGUGUGUAUGUGUGUGUAUCUGUACAUAUAAACCCUAGAUUAUACAUGCAAGUACUGGAAAUACAUUUUUUCCGAAUAUGGAAUAGUUUUUGUCAUUAUUUAAUUUAGCUAAUAAAUUUAAAAUGUUUUUUUUUGCAGGAUAAAUGCACAACAUAAUAUAUAUUACGUAAUCAAUCGUGUAUACGUACAGUAGCUAAGUACAGAUCAGCUUUGACAUUUUAAUCCUGAGUUGGUAGAUGAAAAUUGAUCCAGCAUGCAUCUAUGCGUACUAUCUGCAUUUUCAGACUAAGGUACAUUUUCUUUAAAAUGAUUCCUGAAAAAAAUUAUAAUUAAGAUGAUUAUAAAAUGUAGCUAUAAUGACUCAGAAUUAGAUUUAAAAAAUAAUAGUUAUUACCAGAUCAGAGUCUUCAUCAUCUUCAUCUAAUUCCAGCAUGUAGCUAUAAUGACUCAGAAUUAGAUUUAAAAAAUAAUAGUUAUAAUCAGAUCAGGCUCAGAAUGUAGCUAUAAUGACUCAGAAUUAGAUUUAAAAAAUGUAGCUAUGAAUUUUUAAUGCUAAAUUUUCCAGAUUCAUUCAAUGCCACACCCAAAUACCCAUAGAAGACAAAAAACAGUUUAUAUCAUAAAACAAAAAAUACAAAAAUGAUAAACUGAAUUUACCUCCUCAUUGUGAAACAAAGAUUCUUUACUUUUCAUGAUUUCACAUCCUUGAUCUUUUGGUACUUCAUAUGUUCUAACAAAUCUAACCCUUGUUGCUCCUCCUUUGGUGUUCAGUUGACUGAUUUCCUUGACAUAUUUUGAGAACAUAUUUGUGGUGCUGGUGUUAUUCAUUGUUGAUAAUCUCUGGUUGAGUCUCUACAGGUCAUUCGACCUCUUUAUAUAGAGGUUGAAUUGAAUCAGGAGCCUUAUAGAAAAACGAAAAGGCAAGCUUUGGAA